rnacentral:rRNA from 1 species
AGUGAACGCUGGCGGUAGGCCUAACACAUGCAAGUCGAACGGCAGCACAGCAAGAGCUUGCUCUUACGGGUGGCGAGUGGCGGACGGGUGAGGAAUACAUCGGAAUCUACUUUUUCGUGGGGGAUAACGUAGGGAAACUUACGCUAAUACCGCAUACGACCUACGGGUGAAAGCAGGGGAUCUUCGGACCUUGCGCGAUUGAAUGAGCCGAUGUCGGAUUAGCUAGUUGGCGGGGUAAAGGCCCACCAAGGCGACGAUCCGUAGCUGGUCUGAGAGGAUGAUCAGCCACACUGGAACUGAGACACGGUCCAGACUCCUACGGGAGGCAGCAGUGGGGAAUAUUGGACAAUGGGCGCAAGCCUGAUCCAGCCAUACCGCGUGGGUGAAGAAGGCCUUCGGGUUGUAAAGCCCUUUUGUUGGGAAAGAAAAGCAGCAGGUUAAUACCCCGCUGUUCUGACGGUACCCAAAGAAUAAGCACCGGCUAACUUCGU